rnacentral:RNase_P_RNA from 1 species
GGAGUCUGCCAGGCAGUCGCCUUCCUGCGUCCUCAAUGGAAAGGCAGGAGGGAGGAAAGUCCGGGCUCCACGGGCAGGGUGCCAGGUAAUACCUGGAGGAUGUGAGUCCAUGGAAAGUGCAACAGAGAGUAGACCGCCUGGCUGCUUCGCUUGAAUAUCAUUCAGACGGAUGAGCUAGGUAAGGGUGAAACGGUGUGGUAAGAGCGCACCGCACAACUAGUAAUAGUUGUGGCUAGGUAAACCCCACCUGGAGCAAGACCGAAUAGAGGGGCGCGGAAGUAUCCGACAUAUGGCCCGUAUGGCCCCCGGGUAGGUUGCUUGAGGUUCAUGGUGACAUGAAUCCCAGAUGAAUGGCUGCCCAUGACAGAACCCGGCUUACAGGCAGACUCCUACU